rnacentral:lncRNA from 1 species
CGGGGGCCCACCUGCAGUCCACAGAUAAAAACAACUCCUCCCCCUCGAUUUAUUAUUCACUUGGACUCCUUCUCCUCCCUUCUCUUCUCCGGAUUUCUCCUAUAAAAAGAUUUGUUUUUUAGGAGCAAAUUUUGAUUUUUAUAGCGAGAAACUAGGGAGGAGAAGGAGGAGGAGGGAUCCGGAAUCUCCGCGGGGUAUGCCACCGGUGGGGGUGGGGGAGGUGGCGGCGAGAGGAGGAGGAGGAGGAGGG